UAAAGAACAGUAAUGUACGAGUAGAUGC
rnacentral:sRNA from 1 species